rnacentral:lncRNA from 1 species
GUUCAAGGGGCUGUCCAUCAAAGGGCGCGUGGGGUUCACCGCUGCGGUGGUUUCUGGGCGUCUGAGGCCCCAGAAGCCUCUGCCGCUCGGACUCCGGCGGCCGCGGGGACGCUGCCCAUGGGUCGCGUCCCCUCGGGUUCUCGCGAGAUCGGCCGAGACGAUCCGCUGCUCCCUGGGGGCCGAGAGCCGGGGAGGGCUCGGGGGUCCCAGCCGGUGGGGUGACAGUCUUGGUCGUGCGGGGGGCGAGGUUCCUGGCCCGACUCCGGACCCCGCCGGUAGCUUCCGAGUGUCCAGACAUUCCGCGUGGCGAGGAGGGCGCCGGGGCUCGGGCUGGACAGACCGGCUCUCCCCGCGGCGGGGCGCCCUCGCUGGUCCCCUCCGUGGAGACGCACACCCUCUCUGAACCUCUCGGGUGACGGACUUGGUGAUCCGGGGCCGUGGGAGGGUUCCUAUUCAUGCAGUAGAGUUUUUAGCGCUUAAUGAAAGGGAGCUGCCUCCGAUAUUGGGAUGUAAAGAGAUGAAAGAAACAAAGACCUGCAUGAGCGUGGAAGAGACGGGCCUGCGAGAUUAAAAUGUUGAUCUUUCCGCCUGGAUCAGUGUGUGGUUCAUGGAACAAAGGAGCCGCAUGACUGGGGGCUGGAGAGGCUUGGGUGACCGUCUCGGGUCCUGCAUUGUCCUGGUUCUUGCCUGUCCCUGGGUCAUGCCAUCCCUUCCCGGAGGCUAAGGGCCCUCUCUCUCCCAGGAGCUUGUCUCCACGGCCGCCUCUUCCACACCAGCUGUCUCUGAUCCGCUCUUGACUCUGCCCCAGAGUCACUGGAUCCAUAUGCCUGGUAACCCCCUCCCUCGCUUAAAAGCUGGAGGCUGUAGGUUGGGGCUCAGGGCCUGUCUAAUCUGGCGGCCUGCCCUUCCAACCCCUCCUUUCCCGGUCCCACCUUCAGGGCCAAACUCCAGCUGUAGCGACACCUCUGCUCCUUGGCCCCGGCGGGCUCCCUGCCCGCUGUGCCCUGGGCUGGCAUCCCCCUUCCACCAGCUCUUCCAGGCUUAGAUGAGCUGUCAGGGGUCGUUGGCCACUUACCCCCAGCAAGCACACUCAUUUCUGUCCUCCUGUUACUUCUUGUCACAGCACCGUAGGCGACACUUAUGUUCCAUCACGAGCUAAACCAGUGGCUUUUGUAUCAGCGCCACGUUUGGGAGGUUGACAUGGGCCUGGUGUCUUUAUCCUGGUGUUCCAGGUGCAUCGUGCAGUGUCUGGCACAGCGGGCAUCUGUUCAUCUGCCAAAUGUUACUGGAUACCCUAGGACGUGUCAGGAGUAAUUGUGGGCCCUGGGGAAAUGCAGUGCGGUAAACAGACAAAACCCCCAUGCGCAUGGACCCCAUCCUCGUGAGGCUGACAAACUAAAAAAAGUUUCUAUGCACAUCAUGUGACACCCAACACCAAGAGGAGGCUGCGAGGGGCACUGAGGGAGAUGAAAGAUGGAGCGAACUCGGCGACACCCCUCCCGUUGAAAGCUGAAGAUGCUGCCUCUGCGAGGGCGGGGCCCCUGACGUUCGCUGCCGUGUGCAUCAGGACCUGGGACGUCGUGCAUGCUUGUCCAGCUGGAACCCUGUGAAGAGUCCUGCCUUGCCCAGUCAGAAUGAUGCUUCCUGCCCGCAUCCGCCCAGGCCUCUCUUAGACGGGACGGUGGCCGGCUGUUAGUUGGGUCCUUCUCUCUCCUGGCUGCCACGUGAGAACAGAGCCAAAUCCUACCAAGAAGAAACCGCAGGGCGGUGCAGAUGCCCAGGGGGCUUCAACGGCCUGGCUCCGGAGGAACGGAUCCCAGGCUCUGUGCAAAAGGCCACCUCCUAAUUGGGCACCGGGACUUUCUGUGACAGGGGUCCCAGCCUCUCCCCGUAUCAUCCUCCCCACACCUUUCCAGGAAGGGUGAAGGAGUCAGAAUUAUGGACCCCGAAGAUGUCCACGUCUUAAUCGCUGGAGCCUGUGAGUGUGUCAUCACUUGGCAAGGGGGAAUUAAGGUCGCAGAUGGAAUUAAGGAUGCUAACGAGCAGACUCUGAAUAGGGACAUGGUCGUGGGUUAUCCCGUGGGCCCAAUGGAACCACAAGGGUCCUGGAAAACAGAAGAGAGAAGCAGAAGAGAGUCAGAGGGAAAGGCCACCACGGAAGAAUGGUCAGAGACGCAAAGUUGCUGGCUGCGAAGAUGGAGGAAGCAGGCCACAAGCCAAGGAAAGUGGGUGGUCUCCUGUAGCUGGAAAAGACAAGGAAGAGCUUCCAGAAAGGAACACAGCCCCGCCCACACCUUGAUCUUAGCCCAGCCAGACUCAUGGCAGCCUUCUAGCCUACAGAACUUAAAGAUAAUAAAUUUGUGUUGUUUAAGACUAAA